AUGCCUAGGCGCCAGGAGCCGAAGAAGGACGCGGUAAGCUGCGAAAAGCCACGGGGAACUGCAAGCGAGUAUUGAUCCGUGGAUAUCCGAAUGGGGAAACCCGGCCAUCGUAAUGGAUGGUCAUCCGCAAGGAAGGGAACCCGGGGAACUGAAACAUCUAAGUACCCGGAGGAAAAGAAAUCAAACGAGAUGCCCACAGUAGCGGCGAGCGAAGAGGGCAGAGCCCAAACCUGUAAGCUACGGCUUAUGGGGGUUGAGGACUGACGUAAUUAAGGCCAGGCUUAGCUGAACUACCUGGGAAGGUAGGCGAUAGAAGGUAAGAGCCCUGUAAGCGAAAGGCAGAGCCUUAAGGUCAGUAUCCAGAGUACCACGGAGCACGAGGAAUUCUGUGGGAAGCAGGGGGGACCACCCUCCAAGGCUAAAGACUAACUGGCGACCGAUAGCGCAUAGUACCGUGAGGGAAAGGUGAAAAGAACCCCGGGAGGGGAGUGAAAUAGUACCUGAAACCGUAUGUCUACAAGCAGUCGGAGCGAAAGCGACGGCGUGCCUAUUGAAGAAUGAACCAACGAGUUAUCUGCACUAGCGAGGUUAAGUGGAAGACACGGAGCCGUAGCGAAAGCGAGUCUGAAAAGGGCGGCGAGUUAGUGUAGGUAGACCCGAAACCGCAGUGAUCUACCCAUGUCCAGGUUGAAGCGCAGGUAAAAAUGCGUGGAGGACCGAACCGGUGAGCGUUGAAAAGCUUUCGGAUGAGAUGUGGGUAGGGGUGAAAUUCCAAUCGAACGCGGAGAUAGCUGGUUCUCCCCGAAAUAGCUUUAGGGCUAGCCUCAGGUAGUAAGUAUAGGCGGUAGAGCACUGAUCGGGCUAGGGGCCAUAAAGGUUACCGAACCCUGUCAAACUCCGAAUGGAUAUACUGCAGAGCCUGGGAGUCAGACUACGAGUGAUAAGAUCCGUGGUCAAAAGGGAAACAGCCCAGACCACCGGCUAAGGUCCCAAAUGCCGUACUAAGUGGAAAAGGAUGUGGGGAUUCAUAAACAACCAGGAUGUUGGCUCAGAAGCAGCCAUCAUUUAAAGAGUGCGUAAUAGCUCACUGGUCGAGAGUCCCUGCGCCGAAAAUUUCCGGGGCUAAAGUACGGAACCGAAGCCGUGGCUGUGCAUGUAAGUGCACGGGGUAGGGGAGCGUUGCCACAGGGGUGAAGCUGGUCUGGAAGGACUGGUGGACUUGUGGGAAGUGAGAAUGUUGGUAUGAGUAGCGAAAAGAAAGGUGAGAAUCCUUUCCACCGAAAGCAUAAGGAUUCCUGAGCAACGAUCGUCGUCUCAGGGUAAGUCGGGACCUAAUCCGAGGCAAAGAGCGUAGGAGAUGGACAACAGGUUGAUAUUCCUGUACCGGCAGCAAUUGUUUGAGCGAAGGAGUGACACAGAAGGGCAGGCAGGCGCGAGACUGGAUUGUCGCGUGCAAGCGUGUAGGGUAGUGUACAGGCAAAUCCGUACACUGAAAGCCUGAGGCGUUACGCGGAGCGAGCAGAGAUGCGAGCGAAGCUGCUGAUCCCACACUGUCGAGAAAAGCUUCUAGUGAGAGAGCUGCCGCCCGUACCGUAAACCGACACAGGUAUGCGGGGAGAGAAUCCUAAGGUGCGCGGGAGAACCCUCGUUAAGGAACUCGGCAAAAUGUACCCGUAACUUCGGGAUAAGGGUAGCCGUCUUGGUGAAGGAGCUUGCCUCUGGAGCUGAAGGCGGUCGCAGAGAAGAGGCCCAAGCGACUGUUUACCACAAACACAGGUGCCUGCUAAAGCGAAAGCUGACGUAUAGGUGCUGACACCUGCCCAGUGCUGGAAGGUUAAGGAAGGAUGUCCGGGCAACCAAAGCAUUCGACCGAAGCCCCAGUGAACGGCGGCCGUAACUAUAACGGUCCUAAGGUAGCGAAAUUCCUUGUCGGGUAAGUUCCGACCCGCACGAAAGGUGUAACGAUUUGGGCACUGUCUCAACGAGGGACCCGGUGAAAUUGAAAUACCUGUGAAGAUGCAGGUUACCCGCGACUGGACAGAAAGACCCCAUGGAGCUUUACUGUAACCUGACAUUGGGUUUUGUUGUAUUACGUACAGGAUAGGUGGGAGGCUUAGAAGGCUGGACGCUAGUCUGGCUGGAGCCGUCGUUGGGAUACCACCCUUGAUACAACGGAAUUCUAACCGAGAGAGUAACGAAAUCCGGGACAGUGUCAGGCGGGCAGUUUGACUGGGGCGGUCGCC
rnacentral:rRNA from 1 species